UACGGAGGAUCCAAGCGUUAUCCGGAAUCAUUGGGUUUAAAGGGUCCGUAGGCGGCCCUGUAAGUCAGUGGUGAAAUCUUUCGGCUCAACCGGAAAAUUGCCAUUGAUACUGCAGGGCUUGAAUUAUCGGGAAGUAACUAGAAUAUGUAGUGUAGCGGUGAAAUGCUUAGAGAUUACAUGGAAUACCGAUUGCGAAGGCAGGUUACUACCGGUGGAUUGACGCUGAUGGACGAAAGCGUGGGGAGCAAACGGG
rnacentral:rRNA from 1 species